GAUGUUGCGCCGGACGAACGGAUAACUUUGAUGACGUUAAACAUGAGGAACUCCUCCAACAUCU
rnacentral:tRNA from 1 species